CCUACGGGAGGCAGCAGUGAGGAAUAUUGGUCAAUGGCCGGGAGGCUGAACCAGCCAAGCCGCGUGAAGGAGGAAGGUGCAAAGCAUUGUAAACUUCUUUUGUCAGGGGACAAAAUCAGGCACGCGUGCCUGGCCGAGGGUACUUGAAGAAAAAGCAUCGGCUAACUCCGUGCCAGCAGCCGCGGUAAUACGGAGGAUGCGAGCGUUAUCCGGAUUUAUUGGGUUUAAAGGGUGCGUAGGCGGUCUGUUAAGUCAGCGGUAAAAGCCCGGGGCUCAACCCCGGCGAGCCGUUGAAACUGGCUGUCUUGAGAUGGCGAGAGGUAUGCGGAAUGCGCAGUGUAGCGGUGAAAUGCUUAGAUAGCGCGCAGAACUCCGAUUGCGAAGGCAGCAUACCGGCGGCGAACUGACGCUGAGGCACGAAAGCGUGGGUAUCGAACAGGAUUAGAUACCCGGGUAGUC
rnacentral:rRNA from 1 species